GCGCUCUCUUCAGCAGCGCAUAUACUAAAACCGGAACCAUACAGAGAGGAUUAGCACGGCCCCUGCACAAGGAUGGCGUGCAAGUUUGCUUUAUAAAAUAAAUUUUA
rnacentral:snRNA from 1 species